rfam:Gossypium hirsutum cultivar TM-1 chromosome 25, whole genome shotgun sequence
AGCCCAUGGUGAGGGAACCGUCUUAAUAAAUCCUUGUAUCUCUCUCAUGCAUUAUAUAAAGUCUCUAAAUCGAUUUGAACAAAACAAGAGAUGUCAUUCCUCAACUU